rnacentral:rRNA from 1 species
UACGAAGGGGGCUAGCGUUGCUCGGAAUCACUGGGCGUAAAGGGUGCGUAGGCGGGUUCUUAAGUCAGAGGUGAAAUCCUGGAGCUCAACUCCAGAACUGCCUUUGAUACUGAGAGUCUUGAGUACGGGAGAGGUGAGUGGAACUGCGAGUGUAGAGGUGAAAUUCGUAGAGAUCCGGAGGAACACCAGUGGCGAAGGCGACACGCUGGGCCGUACCUGACGCUGAUACGCGACAGCAUGGGGAGCGAACGGG